AAGGGUUUGAUCCUGGCUCAGAUUGAACGCUGGCGGCAGGCCUAACACAUGCAAGUCGAGCGGAUGAAGGGAGCUUGCUCCUGGAUUCAGCGGCGGACGGGUGAGUAAUGCCUAGGAAUCUGCCUGGUAGUGGGGGAUAACGUCCGGAAACGGGCGCUAAUACCGCAUACGUCCUGAGGGAGAAAGUGGGGGAUCUUCGGACCUCACGCUAUCAGAUGAGCCUAGGUCGGAUUAGCUAGUUGGUGGGGUAAAGGCCUACCAAGGCGACGAUCCGUAACUGGUCUGAGAGGAUGAUCAGUCACACUGGAACUGAGACACGGUCCAGACUCCUACGGGAGGCAGCAGUGGGGAAUAUUGGACAAUGGGCGAAAGCCUGAUCCAGCCAUGCCGCGUGUGUGAAGAAGGUCUUCGGAUUGUAAAGCACUUUAAGUUGGGAGGAAGGGCAGUAAGUUAAUACCUUGCUGUUUUGACGUUACCAACAGAAUAAGCACCGGCUAACUUCGUGCCAGCAGCCGCGGUAAUACGAAGGGUGCAAGCGUUAAUCGGAAUUACUGGGCGUAAAGCGCGCGUAGGUGGUUCAGCAAGUUGGAUGUGAAAUCCCCGGGCUCAACCUGGGAACUGCAUCCAAAACUACUGAGCUAGAGUACGGUAGAGGGUGGUGGAAUUUCCUGUGUAGCGGUGAAAUGCGUAGAUAUAGGAAGGAACACCAGUGGCGAAGGCGACCACCUGGACUGAUACUGACACUGAGGUGCGAAAGCGUGGGGAGCAAACAGGAUUAGAUACCCUGGUAGUCCACGCCGUAAACGAUGUCGACUAGCCGUUGGGAUCCUUGAGAUCUUAGUGGCGCAGCUAACGCGAUAAGUCGACCGCCUGGGGAGUACGGCCGCAAGGUAAAACUCAAAGGAAUUGACGGC
rnacentral:rRNA from 1 species